AUGGGUUACACGCUCUUCAGUUGCCUGGUCCUCUGUCUCCUGGUGACAGGUCCAGUCAACCCUAAAAUUAUCCAGAAACCAAAACGUCUGGUGGCAGUCACAGGGAGUGAAAGAAUCCUGACGUGCGAACAGCACCUAGGACACAAUGCUAUGUAUUGGUACAGACAAAGUGCUAAGAAGUCCCUAGAGCUCAUGUUUUCCUAUAGCUAUCAAAAACUUAUGGACAACCAGACUAUCCCAAGUCGCUUCCAACCUCACAAUUCAGGGAAAGUGUUAGACCUUCAGAUCACAGCCCUGAAGCCUGAAGAUGCGGCUACAUACUUCUGUGCCAGUAGCCAAGACACAGCCCUGCAAAGCUCUCACUUCUCUGUACACAAACCUCCUUUCCAGGAAACUGCUGAUGUAACUGGUCUACCUGUGCCUGGAGACUCAGUUCCGUAG